rnacentral:tRNA from 1 species
GAGCCGUUAGCCUCAGUUCGUAGAGCAUCUGACUUUUAAUCAGAGGGUCGGCAGUUCGAGACUGCCACGGCUCA